CCGGUCCACUCACAAACGAGGCGAAACUGGUCCGCACGUCAGUCUCCUCCUGGGGGUUGCGGGCUCUUGGAUGCAGCCCAGCGCGAGACACAGCAAAAACACCUAAAGCCGCGGGGGGGAUGACAAGCCAGCACGGCGCCCCCCAAUAAAGCCCGGAAAAGGCACGGCUCAGAGACGCCGCCUGCUCCCGCUUACCACACCGAAACCCCUCCCCUCCUGACCCUGACCGGCCGGAACCAGCAACACCUGUUCUCCACCUCCAAACCCCUCUCCUCCACCGCUUUCCCACCUCCUCUCCACUCCCACAAGCCACCUACGUCUUCUCUACUCUGAUGCCAGACAGCACAGAACCCAUUCCCCUCACUCCGACGGGCCCCAAUUCCCGGGGAGAGGGCAACCACACGAAUACACAAAACACACACAGCCCGGGACCUCAACUCCCCCUGCUAGACCACGCUCAGGGCACUGCCCUCUCGCCCAGCCCUCCAACUGCCCAGGGCCUCCCUGCUCUCCUCGCUCCCUCACCUAUCCCUACUCCUGGCUCUCUCACCCCCUCCCUCACUCUCACUCUCCCUGCUCCCUUUCCGGUAAGACCUCGAUCCGACUCUAUCUCGGCUAUUUAGGCCGUGAUUUCCACCGGUGCUGCGCACCGCAUCCGUUCCUCCACGACCGCCAGGAUGGGGUGCUGCGGCCCGACCCUGUCCCAGCCGUGUCUGGNGGUCUCCAGCAUUGCGAACGAGCGCAAACGCGCCCAGAAGUCUGCCACCGCCCGGGCGCGUGCGCGGGCCAGUGGCGAGGCUCCCUGUGCGCCCGCCGUUGCUGCUGCUNNNNNNNNNNNNNNNNNNNNNNNNNNNNNNNNNNNNNNNNNNNNNNNNNNNCGCCGUUGCCGCUGAUGCGACCCGCGCUUCCCGCGAUGACGGUUGACAACACGCGAGCGCCGGAGUUGCCGCCGCCGCUGCCGCCAGCACUGCCGCCGCGCGCAUCUGCGCCCUAAGGGUCGCUGGUGCCGUCUGCGCGGGGCGGCUGCUGCGAUCAGGUGCCGUACAAAGCCCCAUGGCUGCCGCCUCCGUCGCCGCCGCCAAGGGUAAUGCCCUUCUCCGAGCCUUCAUCAUCUCCGCCGCCUCGCGCCUCCGCUGCCGCUGCGGCCUCCGUGCCCAGAUCCUGGCGGAGGCGGAGUCGAAGCCCAGGAGACAGAGACACCCUCUCUGGCUCGGCUUCCCGGACAUCACGGCAUCCCGCUCCGAUACCAUCCUUUCCAUCACGCAGCACGCCACGCACGUAAUUGAGGCGGCUGCCGCCACCACCCUGUACGCCCAAGUAGCGCAUCAGCGGCGGAAGGCGCCGCCGCCGUGGCUACACGGGCGCCGCCGUACAGUGAGGACGUGCCGUCACCGCCAGCUGUGAACCUUUUCGGCGACUUGGCGACUUCUCCAGCGACGGCAACAGCAGCGGUGUCGUACGACUGCCGGAUACGCGAGCAGCGUGAUCGAAGCUUGGCCUGUCGCAGCGCCGCUCUCAGUGCCGGUGACACCAUCAUCCCCUCCCCCUCCCCCUCCCCCCGACUACCCCCACCCCCACCCCCACCUACUGGCCCCCCACACACCCCGCAGCAAUCGACCACCUCCCUCCCAGCCCCCACCUGCCGUAUCGUGUUAUCGUCCGCGUGUGCUGUAAACCCCGCGAUGCCCUCUGAGCCCGCGGGCACCGCCGUCGCCGUCGGUGGCGGCGGCGGCGUGGCGACGGCGGCGGCAGCGCUGACGUCAUGGCUUGGUACUCCAUCGCCGACCGUCCCGAACCUGUGGCUUCAAAGAAGUACAAGUCAUCGCCACCACCGCCGGCAGCGGCGACGACGGCGGCGGUGCCGCCAGUAGCGGCGCCGCCGGCGGAGCUGUAGCUGACCUGUGCAUUGCCGACGGAACCGGAUCUUGGCGUGGACGAAUCCGGUGUGAAACUGGGCUCCACGCCGCCGUCGCCGGCGUUUAGUGCCGCUGCUGCAGCGUGGUUGCGGAUGCUGUUGUUGCUGUUAUCGUUGUUGUUAUCGUUGUUGUUAUCGUUGUUGUUAUCGUUGUUGUUAUCGUUGUUGUUAUCGUUGUUGUUAUCGUUGUUGUUAUCGUUGUUGUUGAUGGGGUGUUACACUGUGGGCGGCUCGCCCGAUAAAGGACGAGCACCGGGGGCCCUGACCGGGCCGAAACACAGCGCAGGGAUGGGCGCGCGGCUCUACGUCCGUCUGUUCCUCCGCGCGCGCCUCGAUCCCUCACUCACGCCAACCGGGACACUCUCCCAGCCCCUGGCUAGGCAACACAGCGGCGAUCUAUGCAAGAACCGCACGAAAGGCGCCACUUCGCCUGGCCUGCCUAUUCACGCGCUCUCGUCCCUCUUGACCGCCAAAACCAGAACAAAAAGAAAACACCACCGGGGGCAGGGGCUCUACUCGGGGGCCUCCUCUACACACACAAAAGAACCAGGGCCCCACGCAGCCAGCAAGGCAAGGGACACACGGAGGACCACGGGCCUGAGACGACACACCACAAAAGCCGAGAUACGGUUGCACAGGAAUGACCAACACAAAGCGAGUACUCGCACACUGGUCCUCGAAGGCCAGCUGUUCAACUACCACGAGCAACGAACAACGAUCACUUCCCGAGGGUGGCCACCACUACCUCGCCGGUCCACUCACAAACGAGGCGAAACUGGUCCGCACGUCAGUCUCCUCCUGGGGGUUGCGGGCUCUCGGAUGCAGCCCAGCGCGAGACACAGCAAAAACACCUAUAGCCGCGGGGGGGAUGACAAGCCAGCACGGCGCCCCCCUAUAAAGCCCGGAAAAGGCACGGCUCACAGACGCCGCCUGCUCCCGCUUACCACACCGGAAUCCCUCCCCUCCUGACCCUGACCGGCCGGGACCAGCACCACCUGUUCUCCACCUCUAAACCACUCUCCUCCACCGCUUUCCCACCUCCUCUCCACUCCCGCAAGCCACCUACGUGUUCUCUACUCUGAUGCCAGACAGCGCAGAACCCAUUCCCCUCACUCCGACGGGCCCCAAUUCCCGGGGAGAGGGCAACCACACAAGUACACAAAACACACACAGCCCGGGUCCUCAACUCCCCCUGCUAGACCACGCUCAGGGCACUGCCCUCUCGCCCAGCCCUCCAACUGUCCAGGGCCUCCCUGCUCUCCUCGCUCCCUCACCUAUUCCUACUCCUGGCUCUCUCACCCCCUCCCUCACUCUCCCUGCUCCCUUUCCGGUAAGACCUCGAUCCAACUCUAUCUCGGCUAUUUAGGCCGUGAUUUCCACCGGUGCUGCGCACCGCAUCCGUUCCUCCACGACCGCCAGGAUGGGGUGCUGCGGCCCGACUCUGUCCCAGCCGUGUCUGGGGGUCUCCAGCAUUGCGAACGAGCGCAAACGCGCCCAGAAGUCUGCCACCGCCCGGGCGCGUGCGCGGGCCAGUGGCGAGGCUCCUGUUGCGCCCGCCGUUGCUGCUGCUGCCACCGCCUCGCCCCCUCCCGCCCCUGCUUCCUGCGUUGGCCCGUCCUCCGCUGGGGCGUUUAGGGUGGGUCCUUCUUGCUGCAUUGUACCUCCCGCCGGGGUGAAGAAAUCUGUGAUGGCCCGCUGGCGGGACCUCUGUUGCUGGGGCUGCCCCACCACCUGUCGCUGUCGCUGCUGCUGCUGCUGUCGCUGCUGCUGCUGCUGUCGCUGCUGCUGCUGCGGUCCUGCCGUUGCUGUCGCCCCCCUCCGUCCCUGUCGCCGGGUUGCUGCUCGGAGGCAGCACCUGCCGACUUCCAUGGCGGAUAGCGCCGCUAGGGCGAUCACGUCCCACGGGCCCUGCUCACACCCGGGUGGCGCUUGGGCAAGCCAGAGCUGCUGCCGGGUGGUGGUGGCCCCUACUGUUGUCUGAGUGUGUGGCAGGUGCCUGUCGAUCUGCUCCCGUACGGCACGUGCGACUGGACAUUCCCAGAAAUGGUGCAGACGCGGUGGGCAGGGUCGGCCGGCGGCGCCCCCAUAGGUCCCACACCCGCAUGGCUCAGUGGGCACCCGGGCUAGGUGCGUGUUGCCAGGUAGGGGCACGCCAUNNNNNNNNNNNNNNNNNNNNNNNNNNNNNNNNNNNNNNNNNNNNNNNNNNCCGGGCGUGAAAGCAUCCCGGGCAUGGAUGAUUGUGUGUGUGGCGAGGGUUGCACCCUGCAUACAGCAUGAGCAAUCCAGGUGCGGUUGUGGUGGUGUGGAUGGCACGGUUAGCACAGGGUGCUUGGACGAGUAUGGACAUGCUGCCGUCCAUGCAUGUAAGGCUGGCUAAAUGUCAGCAACAGAAGCUCGCACCUGUGCAUGGUGUGUUGUUAUUGCCCAUGCAAGGCAGAGGGGGAAAGUGGACUUGAAGUAUCGGACACCAUUCAGGAUCUUGUAGCGGGUGACACUGCGUCCCAGCGUGAUAGUCUUCCCUGUGGUUGCUAGCUGGACCUUGACUUUAUCGACAUGGCCAUCUGCAUCGAACAGGAGCUUGGCCACAUUGCCAGUCGCGCAAUUGGCGGCUCCGCGGGCCAGGGAGAUGUUGUCGGUUAAGCAGACGCGCAUGCCGACGGCCACGCAUGGCAGCGUCCGAAACGUGGGCUCCUGGAGCCAUUGGUCCAGGGCCAGCAUGGCGUCUGGGGCAGUGACAUUGUGGGACAGGCGACAGGGGCGUACUUCGCCGAGGGCGGUGCCUUCCAGGCGCCACAGAAUGGCUAGGUUGUGCUGCAGCGCAUCCUCCUGAUGGGUACACAGCACUGUCGUGUUUGCAUCGCAUGUGGCUGCCACCUGUGACUCCUCGAUGAAGUGCAUGUUGUCCGGUGUGCACACCCCAAACACAGCAUCUAGCUCAGCCUGUGUGGGGGCGUGCUGCCGGAUGAUAUCAAGCAGGCUGCUGUAGGCCGGGUCCUUCACAUGCCGUACUGAGACGCUCAAGUUUAGGUGUGUGGCAGUGUGCCAAUAGGGUGAGGCCGAGAUGUGGCAUCGUCGGCACACAGCUGUGGCAGCGGGUUCAUCCUCGUGUGUGCGCUGAUGCUUGCAGACAGGCACCAGCUGCGGAGGUGCAAGUGAGGGGGAGGGGGAGGGGGAAAAGAGGGGGGGAGGGGGGCGCAGUAGCAGGCCGAUGACAGAGGGCAGCAUGCGACAAGCACUGUAAGUGCAUGGUGUGGAGGCUGAGCACCACGAUGCCUACCUCCCCCGAGCGGCAGUACUGUGCACAGGUGUGCACCUGCGCAUCAUCGCCAACUAGGAUGAUGAGCUUCUUGUGCAGCAUGGCAUCGAUGGAGGGCUCUUCACUGGCAUGCCACAAUGUGAUGAGAAUGUGCAUCAAGUUCUCUGCAGUCAUCAUGGAGAACUCAUCCAGGAUGAGGACAUCAGCUGCAUGCUAGCCUUCUGGACAUUAAGCAGGGGCUGUUGUAUUUGGGCACGAUCACACUUCACGUUGCAUACAUGUCCCACAACGACUCGUGUGUGAACGGCGGCUGCUGCCCAUACGGACACCAGCGCUUGGGAUGGUCUAUUGCGUCAGCGUUGGGGAGGGGGGGCGCUGCUCCUUUCUAGGACGGCUCAUCGCGUGCUCGGGGGCAUGCUGGGUAGCGUGCGAGCUCACCCAUCGUGUUGCCUGUUCUGGCAUGUCCGUCCAAGCGAGAAAGAAAACUUGUACCUAGGCCUUAUACUUCGAUACUACAACAUAGCAGAGGACCGACGCGACGUGUACUGUAAACGCGCUGUUGUUGUUGUUGUUGUUGUUGAUGGGGUGUUACACUGUGGGCGGCUCGCCCGAUAAAGGACGAGCACCAGGGGCCCUGACCGGGCCGAAACACAGCGCAGGGAUGGGCGCGCGGCUUUACGUCCGUCUGUUCCUCCGCGCGCGCCUCAUUCCCUCACUCACGCCAACCGGGACGCUCUCCCAGCCCCUGGCUAGGCAACACAGCGGCGCAGAAGACUGCUAACCGAUCUAUGCAAGAACUGCACGAAAGGCGCCACUUCGCCUGGCCUGCCUAAUCACGCGCUCUCGUCCCUCUUGACCGCCAAAACAAGAACAAAAAGAAAACACCACCAUGGGCAGGGGCUCUACUCAGGGGGCUCCUCUACACACUCAAAACCCAGGGCCCCACGCAGCCAGCAAGGCAAGGGACACACGGAGGACCACGGGCCUGAGACGACACACCGCAAAAGCCGAGAUACGGUUGCACAGAAAAGACCAACACAAAGCGAGUACUCGCACACUGGUCCUCGAAGGCCAGCUGUUCAACUACCACGAGCAACGAACAACGAACACUUCCCGAGGGUGGCCACCACUUCCUCGCCGGUCCACUCACAAACGAGGCGAAACUGGUCCGCACGUCAGUCUCCUCCUGGGGGUUGCGGGCUCUCGGAUGCAGCCCAGCGCGAGACACAGGAAAAACACCUAAAGCCGCGGGGGGGAUGACAAGCCAGCACGGCGCCCCCCAAUAAAGCCCGGAAAAGGCACGGCUCACAGACGCCGCCUGCUCCCGCUUACCACACCGAAACCCCUCCCCUCCUGACCCUGACCGGCNNNNNNNNNNNNNNNNNNNNNNNNNNNNNNNNNNNNNNNNNNNNNNNNNNNNNNNNNNNNNNNNNNNNNNNNNNNNNNNNNNNNNNNNNNNNNNNNNNNNNNNNNNNNNNNNNNNNNNNNNNNNNNNNNNNNNNNNNNNNNNNNNNNNNNNNNNNNNNNNNNNNNNNNNNNNNNNNNNNNNNNNNNNNNNNNNNNNNNNNNNNNNNNNNNNNNNNNNNNNNNNNNNNNNNNNNNNNNNNNNNNNNNNNNNNNNNNNNNNNNNNNNNNNNNGGGAGGGGGGCGCAGUAGCAGGCCGAUGACAGAGGGCAGCAUGCGACAAGCACUGUAAGUGCAUGGUGUGGAGGCUGAGCACCACGAUGCCUACCUCCCCCGAGCGGCAGUACUGUGCACAGGUGUGCACCUGCGCAUCAUCGCCAACUAGGAUGAUGAGCUUCUUGUGCAGCAUGGCAUCGAUGGAGGGCUCUUCACUGGCAUGCCACAAUGUGAUGAGAAUGUGCAUCAAGUUCUCUGCAGUCAUCAUGGAGAACUCAUCCAGGAUGAGGACAUCAGCUGCAUGCUAGCCUUCUGGACAUUAAGCAGGGGCUGUUGUAUUUGGGCACGAUCACACUUCACGUUGCAUACAUGUCCCACAACGACUCGUGUGUGAACGGCGGCUGCUGCCCAUACGGACACCAGCGCUUGGGAUGGUCUAUUGCGUCAGCGUUGGGGAGGGGGGGCGCUGCUCCUUUCUAGGACGGCUCAUCGCGUGCUCGGGGGCAUGCUGGGUAGCGUGCGAGCUCACCCAUCGUGUUGCCUGUUCUGGCAUGUCCGUCCAAGCGAGAAAGAAAACUUGUACCUAGGCCUUAUACUUCGAUACUACAACAUAGCAGAGGACCGACGCGACGUGUACUGUAAACGCGCUGUUGUUGUUGUUGUUGUUGUUGAUGGGGUGUUACACUGUGGGCGGCUCGCCCGAUAAAGGACGAGCACCAGGGGCCCUGACCGGGCCGAAACACAGCGCAGGGAUGGGCGCGCGGCUUUACGUCCGUCUGUUCCUCCGCGCGCGCCUCAUUCCCUCACUCACGCCAACCGGGACGCUCUCCCAGCCCCUGGCUAGGCAACACAGCGGCGCAGAAGACUGCUAACCGAUCUAUGCAAGAACUGCACGAAAGGCGCCACUUCGCCUGGCCUGCCUAAUCACGCGCUCUCGUCCCUCUUGACCGCCAAAACAAGAACAAAAAGAAAACACCACCAUGGGCAGGGGCUCUACUCAGGGGGCUCCUCUACACACUCAAAACCCAGGGCCCCACGCAGCCAGCAAGGCAAGGGACACACGGAGGACCACGGGCCUGAGACGACACACCGCAAAAGCCGAGAUACGGUUGCACAGAAAAGACCAACACAAAGCGAGUACUCGCACACUGGUCCUCGAAGGCCAGCUGUUCAACUACCACGAGCAACGAACAACGAACACUUCCCGAGGGUGGCCACCACUUCCUCGCCGGUCCACUCACAAACGAGGCGAAACUGGUCCGCACGUCAGUCUCCUCCUGGGGGUUGCGGGCUCUCGGAUGCAGCCCAGCGCGAGACACAGGAAAAACACCUAAAGCCGCGGGGGGGAUGACAAGCCAGCACGGCGCCCCCCAAUAAAGCCCGGAAAAGGCACGGCUCACAGACGCCGCCUGCUCCCGCUUACCACACCGAAACCCCUCCCCUCCUGACCCUGACCGGCCGGAACCAGCAACACCUGUUCUCCACCUCCAAACCCCUCUCCUCCACCGCUUUCCCACCUCCUCUCCACUCCCACAAGCCACCUACGUCUUCUCUACUCUGAUGCCAGACAGCACAGAACCCAUUCCCCUCACUCCGACGGGCCCCAAUUCCCGGGGAGAGGGCAACCACACGAGUACACAAAACACACACAGCCCGGGUCCUCAACUCCCCCUGCUAGACCACGCUCAGGGCACUGCCCUCUCGCCCAGCCCUCCAACUGCCCAGGGCCUCCCUGCUCUCCUCGCUCCCUCACCUAUCCCUACUCCUGGCUCUCUCACCCCCUCCCUCACUCUCCCUGCUCCCUUUCCGGUAAGACCUCGAUCCGACUCUAUCUCGGCUAUUUAGGCCGUGAUUUCCACCGGUGCUGCGCACCGCAUCCGUUCCUCCACGACCGCCAGGAUGGGGUGCUGCGGCCCGACCCUGUCCCAGCCGUGUCUGG
rnacentral:lncRNA from 1 species